AGUGAACGCUGGCGGUAGGCCUAACACAUGCAAGUCGAACGGCAGCACAGUAAGAUCUUGCUCUUACGGGUGGCGAGUGGCGGACGGGUGAGGAAUAGAUCGGAAUCUACUUUUUCUUGGGGGAUAACGUAGGGAAACUUAUGCUAAUACCGCAUACGACCUACGGGUGAAAGCAGGGGAGCUUCGGACUUUGCGCGAUUGAAUUAGCCGAUGUCGGAUUAGCUAGUUGGCGGGGUAAAGGCCCACCAAGGCGACGAUCCGUAGCUGGUCUGAGAGGAUGAUCAGCCACACUGGAACUGAGACACGGUCCAGACUCCUACGGGAGGCAGCAGUGGGGAAUAUUGGACAAUGGGCGCAAGCCUGAUCCAGCAAUGCCGCGUGGGUGAAGAAGGCCUUCGGGUUGUAAAGCCCUUUUAUUAGGAAAGAAAAGCAGCGGGUUAAUACACCGCUGUUCUGACGGUACCCAAUGAAUAAGCACCGGCUAACUUCGUG
rnacentral:rRNA from 1 species